UACGUAGGGGGCGAGCGUUGUCCGAAUUUACUGGGCGUAAAGCGCGCGUAGGCGGUUUCUUAAGUCUGGGGUGAAAGGUUCAACGCUCAACGUGAACAGUGCCUUGGAUACUGGGAGACUUGAGUCUGGGAGGGGGUAGUGGAAUUCCUGGUGUAGCGGUGAAAUGCGUAGAUAUCAGGAGGAACACCAAUAGCGAAGGCAGCUCGCUGGGACGUUACUGACACUGAGGCGCGAAAGCGUGGGGAGCGAACAGG
rnacentral:rRNA from 1 species